rnacentral:rRNA from 1 species
GAGUUUGAUCAUGGCUCAGGAUGAACGCUAGCGGCAGGCUUAAUACAUGCAAGUUGAGGGGCAGCAUGAUAUACGCGAGUAUAUUGAUGGCGACCGGCGGACGGGUGAGUAAUAGGUAGGAGACCUACCUCAUACAGGGGGAUAGCAUAGAGAAAUCUGUGGUAAUACCCCAUGAGGUUAUAUGAAUAGAGGCAUAUAAUCAAAGCAUAAGCGAUUAUGCGGUAUGAGAGGGGCCUACUGACCAUUAGCUAGUUGGUGAGGUAAGGGCUCACCAAGGCGAAGAUGGUUAGGGGUUUUGAGAGAGAGACCCCCCACAUUGGAACUGAGAGACGGUCCAGACUCCUACGGGAGGCAGCAGUAGGGAAUAUUGGGCAAUGGGCGAAAGCCUGACCCAGCCAUGCCGCGUGAAGGAAGACGGCCUUAUGGGUUGUAAACUUCUUUACUACGCGAAUAGAGGUUAGUACGAGAUACUAAUAGGAAGGUAGUGUAGUAAAAAGCACCGGCUAACUCCGUGCCAGCAGCCGCGGUAAUACGGAGGGUGCAAGCGUUAUUCGGAAUUACUGGGUUUAAAGGGUGCGUAGGCGG